rnacentral:tRNA from 1 species
GUCGUUGUAGUAUAGUGGUGAGUAUCCCGCCUGUCACGCGGGAGACCCGAGGUUCGAUCCCCGGCAACGGCG